UACGGAGCAUGCGAGCGUUAUCCGGAUUUAUUGGGUUUAAAGGGUGCGUAGGCGGGCUGUUAAGUCAGCGGUAAAAGCCCGGGGCUCAACCCCGGCGAGCCGUUGAAACUGGCUGUCUUGAGAUGUCGAGAGGUAUGCGGAAUGCGCAGUGUAGCGGUGAAAUGCUUAGAUAAUGCGCAGAACUCCGAUUGCGAAGGCAGCAUACCGGCGGCGAUCUGACGCUGAGGCACGAAAGCGUGGGUAUCGAACAGG
rnacentral:rRNA from 1 species